CCUACGGGUGGCAGCAGUGGGGAAUAUUGGACAAUGGGCGAAAGCCUGAUCCAGCCAUGCCGCGUGUGUGAAGAAGGCCUUCGGGUUGUAAAGCACUUUCAGUGGGGAAGAAAGCCUUGGGGCUAAUACCCUCGAGGAAGGACAUCACCCACAGAAGAAGCACCGGCUAACUCCGUGCCAGCAGCCGCGGUAAUACGGAGGGUGCGAGCGUUAAUCGGAAUUACUGGGCGUAAAGCGCGCGUAGGCGGUCUGAUAAGCCGGUUGUGAAAGCCCCGGGCUCAACCUGGUAACGGCAUCCGGAACUGUCAGGCUAGAGUGCAGGAGAGGAAGGUAGAAUUCCCGGUGUAGCGGUGAAAUGCGUAGAGAUCGGGAGGAAUACCAGUGGCGAAGGCGGCCUUCUGGACUGACACUGACGCUGAGGUGCGAAAGCGUGGGUAGCAAACAGGAUUAGAUACCCCAGUAGUC
rnacentral:rRNA from 1 species